UACGAAGGGGGCUAGCGUUGCUCGGAAUUACUGGGCGUAAAGGGCGCGUAGGCGGAUAGUUUAGUCAGAGGUGAAAGCCCAGGGCUCAACCUUGGAAUUGCCUUUGAUACUGGCUAUCUUGAGUUCGGGAGAGGUGAGUGGAGUGCCGAGUGUAGAGGUGAAAUUCGUAGAUAUUCGCAAGAACACCAGUGGCGAAGGCGGCUCACUGGCCCGAUACUGACGCUGAGGUGCGAAAGCGUGGGGAGCAAACAGG
rnacentral:rRNA from 1 species